rnacentral:rRNA from 1 species
UCCUACGGGAGGCAGCAGUGGGGAAUAUUGGACAAUGGGGGCAACCCUGAUCCAGCCAUGCCGCGUGUGUGAAGAAGGCCCUCGGGUUGUAAAGCACUUUCAGCGAGGAAGAACGCCUAGCGGUUAAUACCCGCUAGGAAAGACAUCACUCGCAGAAGAAGCACCGGCUAACUCCGUGCCAGCAGCCGCGGUAAUACGGAGGGUGCAAGCGUUAAUCGGAAUUACUGGGCGUAAAGCGCGCGUAGGUGGCUUGAUAAGCCGGUUGUGAAAGCCCCGGGCUCAACCUGGGAACGGCAUCCGGAACUGUCAAGCUAGAGUGCAGGAGAGGAAGGUAGAAUUCCCGGUGUAGCGGUGAAAUGCGUAGAGAUCGGGAGGAAUACCAGUGGCGAAGGCGGCCUUCUGGACUGACACUGACACUGAGGUGCGAAAGCGUGGGUAGCAAACAGGAUUAGAUACCCUGGUAGUCCACGCCGUAAACGAUGUCGACCAGCCGUUGGGUGCCUAGCGCACUUUGUGGCGAAGUUAACGCGAUAAGUCGACCGCCUGGGGAGUACGGCCGCAAGGUUGAACUCAAAUGAAUUGACGG